CGGACGGGUGAGUAAUGUCUGGGAAACUGCCCGAUGGAGGGGGGUAACUACUGGAAACGGUAGCUAAUACCGCAUAAUGUCUACGGACCAAAGCGGGGGACCUCCGGGCCUCGCGCCAUCAGAUGAACCCAUAUGGGAUUAGCUUGUAGGUAAGGUAACGGCUUACCUAGGCGACGAUCCCUAGCUGGUCUGAGAGGAUGAUCAGCCACACUGGGACUGAGACACGGCCCAG
rnacentral:rRNA from 1 species